rnacentral:rRNA from 1 species
UAGUCCACGCCGUAAACGAUGUCUACUAGCCGUUGGGGAACUUGAGUCCUUGGUGGCGCAGUUAACGCGAUAAGUAGACCGCCUGGGGAGUACGGCCGCAAGGUUAAAACUCAAAUGAAUUGACGGGGGCCCGCACAAGCGGUGGAGCAUGUGGUUUAAUUCGAUGCAACGCGAAGAACCUUACCAGGCCUUGACAUCCUAGGAAUCCUGUAGAGAUACGGGAGUGCCUUCGGGAAUCUAGUGACAGGUGCUGCAUGGCUGUCGUCAGCUCGUGUCGUGAGAUGUUGGGUUAAGUCCCGUAACGAGCGCAACCCUUGUCCUUAGUUGCCAGCACGUAAUGGUGGGAACUCUAAGGAGACUGCCGGUGACAAACGGGAGGAAGGUGGGGACGACGUCAAGUCAGUAUGGGCCCUUACGCCCAGGGGCUGCACACGUACUACAAUGCCCAGCACAAUGAGAACCAAGACCGCGA